rnacentral:rRNA from 1 species
CUCUGUGACUCCUACGGGAGGCAGCAGUGGGGAAUAUUGCACAAUGGGCGCAAGCCUGAUGCAGCCAUGCCGCGUGUGUGAAGAAGGCCUUCGGGUUGUAAAGCACUUUCAGUUGUGAGGAAGGUGGUGUCGUUAAUAGCGGCAUCAUUUGACGUUAGCAACAGAAGAAGCACCGGCUAACUCCGUGCCAGCAGCCGCGGUAAUACGGAGGGUGCGAGCGUUAAUCGGAAUUACUGGGCGUAAAGCGCAUGCAGGUGGUUUGUUAAGUCAGAUGUGAAAGCCCCGGGGCUCAACCUCGGAACUGCAUUUGAAACUGGCAGACUAGAGUACUGUAGAGGGGGUAGAAUUUCAGGUGUAGCGGUGAAAUGCGUAGAGAUCUGAAGGAAUACCGGUGGCGAAGGCGGCCCCCUGGACAGAUACUGACACUCAGAUGCGAAAGCGUGGGGAGCAAACAGGAUUAGAUACCCUGGUAA